AAUCAACGCUGGCGGCGUGCCUCAGACAUGCAAGUCGAACGCGAAAAUUUCCCUUCGGGGAGAAAGUGGAGUGGCGCACGGGUGAGUAACACGUAGGUAAUUUGCCUUUGGGUGGGGAAUAACUCAGGGAAACUUGAGCUAAUACCGCAUAAUGCAGCGGCUCGACAUCGAGACAGUUGUUAAAGCGGGGGAGUUGGAGCAAUCCGACCUCCGCGCCUAAAGAAGAAGCCUGCGGCAGAUUAGCUAGUUGGUAAGGUAAUGGCUUACCAAGGCGACGAUCUGUAACCGGCCUGAGAGGGCGGUCGGUCACACUGACACUGACACACGGGUCAGACUCCUACGGGAGGCAGCAGUCGGG
rnacentral:rRNA from 1 species